rnacentral:rRNA from 1 species
CCUACGGGAGGCAGCAGUGAGGAAUAUUGGUCAAUGGACGAGAGCCUGAACCAGCCAAGUAGCGUGAAGGAUGACUGCCCUAUGGGUUGUAAACUUCUUUUAUCGGGGAAUAAAACGUCCCACGUGUGGGAUUUUGUAUGUACCAUAUGAAUAAGCAUCGGCUAACUCCGUGCCAGCAGCCGCGGUAAUACGGAGGAUCCGAGCGUUAUCCGGAUUUAUUGGGUUUAAAGGGUGCGUAGGCGGAUUGGUAAGUCAGUUGUGAAAGUUGGCGGCUCAACCGUAGAAUUGCAGUUGAAACUGGCAGUCUUGAGUACGGGAGAGGUGGGCGGAAUUCGUGGUGUAGCGGUGAAAUGCUUAGAUAUCACGAAGAACUCCGAUUGCGAAGGCAGUACACUGGACUGCAACUGACGCUGAGGCACGAAAGUGUGGGUAUCGAACAGGAUUAGAUACCCCGGUAGUC